UAAGUAAGCUUUGAUCCAGAGAUUUCCGAAUGGGGAAACCCAGCAUGAGUUAUGUCAUGUUAUCGAUAUGUGAAUACAUAGCAUAUCAGAAGGCACACCCGGAGAACUGAAACAUCUUAGUACCCGGAGGAAGAGAAAGAAAAUUCGAUUCCCUUAGUAGCGGCGAGCGAAACGGGAAGAGCCCAAACCAACAAGCUUGCUUGUUGGGGUUGUAGGACACUCUAUACGGAGUUACAAAGGACGACAUUAGACGAAUCAUCUGGAAAGAUGAAUCAAAGAAGGUAAUAAUCCUGUAGUCGAAAAUGUUGUCUCUCUUGAGUGGAUCCUGAGUACGACGGAGCACGUGAAAUUCCGUCGGAAUCUGGGAGGACCAUCUCCUAAGGCUAAAUACUCUCUAGUGACCGAUAGUGAACCAGUACCGUGAGGGAAAGGUGAAAAGCACCCCGGAAGGGGAGUGAAAUAGAACCUGAAACCGUGUGCUUACAAGUAGUCAGAGCCCGUUAAUGGGUGAUGGCGUGCCUUUUGUAGAAUGAACCGGCGAGUUACGAUUUGAUGCAAGGUUAAGCAGUAAAUGUGGAGCCGUAGCGAAAGCGAGUCUGAAUAGGGCGUUUAGUAUUUGGUCGUAGACCCGAAACCAGGUGAUCUACCCUUGGUCAGGUUGAAGUUCAGGUAACACUGAAUGGAGGACCGAACCGACUUACGUUGAAAAGUGAGCGGAUGAACUGAGGGUAGCGGAGAAAUUCCAAUCGAACCUGGAGAUAGCUGGUUCUCUCCGAAAUAGCUUUAGGGCUAGCCUCAAGUGAUGAUUAUUGGAGGUAGAGCACUGUUUGGACGAGGGGCCCCUCUCGGGUUACCGAAUUCAGACAAACUCCGAAUGCCAAUUAAUUUAACUUGGGAGUCAGAACAUGGGUGAUAAGGUCCGUGUUCGAAAGGGAAACAGCCCAGACCACCAGCUAAGGUCCCAAAAUAUAUGUUAAGUGGAAAAGGAUGUGGCGUUGCCCAGACAACUAGGAUGUUGGCUUAGAAGCAGCCAUCAUUUAAAGAGUGCGUAAUAGCUCACUAGUCGAGUGACACUGCGCCGAAAAUGUACCGGGGCUAAACAUAUUACCGAAGCUGUGGAUUGUCCUUUGGACAAUGGUAGGAGAGCGUUCUAAGGGCGUUGAAGCAUGAUCGUAAGGACAUGUGGAGCGCUUAGAAGUGAGAAUGCCGGUGUGAGUAGCGAAAGACGGGUGAGAAUCCCGUCCACCGAUUGACUAAGGUUUCCAGAGGAAGGCUCGUCCGCUCUGGGUUAGUCGGGUCCUAAGCUGAGGCCGACAGGCGUAGGCGAUGGAUAACAGGUUGAUAUUCCUGUACCACCUAUAAUCGUUUUAAUCGAUGGGGGGACGCAGUAGGAUAGGCGAAGCGUGCGAUUGGAUUGCACGUCUAAGCAGUAAGGCUGAGUAUUAGGCAAAUCCGGUACUCGUUAAGGCUGA
rnacentral:rRNA from 1 species